AUGUCCUGGUCUGAGGACAGCAGCGGCGUGACGGGGGACGAGGUGCAGACGGCUCCGUAUCAGCGUCAGGCCGACGGCACCUUCUCCCAGACCAGUGUUCUGAAGCUCGCCAUCACAAUGCUGCAGCUCAAUGAGCAACUCGUACAAAAACCUCAGAGUGUUUCAGUCAUCCUAAUGAUCCGUCCCAUUCAGUCCAGGAGCUCCAAUCCAGGCGUUCAGUGUGAGCAGGAGCAGUGUGCUGUGGAGACCAGGUUUUUGUACGACGCUGUUGCACAGUGCCAUGGCAGCAUCGGCGGAGGCACCGAGUUGAGGAUCGCUCGUCCGUCGUCUCCUCCGUCUCUGCUCCUGCUGGCUCCUCCUGCUUCUCCGCUCUCUGAGGGUGAUGUCAGUGUGGUGUGUGUGGCUCAGGGCUUUUACCCUGACGGUGUCACCAUGUCCUGGUCUGAGGACAGCAGCGGCGUGACGGGGGACGAGGUGCAGACAGCUCCAUAUCAGCGUCAGGCUGACGGCACCUUCUCCCAGACCAGCGUUCUGAAGCUCGGUAAGCAGCGCUGGAGCUCCGGGAGAACCUACACGUGCCGUCUGAGUCACCCGGCGCUUUCCACACCGCUGAGCCAGAGCACCAGCCUGAACCAGUGCAUGUAGAGAGAUCACACAGUGUUGCUUCACCUCUCAUGUGUUGCAUAAAGAGAGAAAUAUAUAUAAUGCAGCUCAGUGAACAAAACUUGUCUUUAAUAAUGAGUGUGUUUUCCAUUUAAACAAGCUCUUCUGUUAUUGUGAAAUGAGUCUUGUGGAGCUCUACUUUGUUGCUUACUCUAGUAAAUAAAGCAUUU